rnacentral:rRNA from 1 species
AUUGAACGCUGGCGGCAGGCUUAACACAUGCAAGUCGAGCGAGCGGCGGACGGGUGAGUAAUGUCUGGGAAACUGCCUGAUGGAGGGGGAUAACUACUGGAAACGGUAGCUAAUACCGCAUACCAUCAGAUGUGCCCAGAUGGGAUUAGCUAGUAGGUGGGGUAAUGGCUCACCAAGGCGACGCGCCGUAGCUGGUUUGAGAGGACGACCAGCCACACUGGGACUGAGACACGGCCCAGACUCCUACGGGAGGCAGCAGUGGGGAAUUUUGGACAAUGGGUGAAACCCUGAUCCAGCCAUCCCGCGUGUGUGAAGAAGGCCUUCGGGUUGUAAAUCACUUUCAGCGAGGAGGCGUUACUCGCAGAAGAAGCACCGGCUAACUCCGUGCCAGCAGCCGCGGUAAUUC